rnacentral:lncRNA from 1 species
GCUCAUUACGCCCCUGAAGCCUGUGAAAAGUCCCACUCUAGGGAAACGCUUCAGUGUCAACUGCCAGGCUCAGAGCCCCUUCCCGAGGAUGACCCUCAUCUACUGGCUGGCAAACAGCUCCUUCGUGGAGGACCGAUACCCAGACGAGGCAGUGAGCGAAGGGGACGUCGUAACGGAGCCCAGGGGCACCAAGGUCCUCCUGACCCGGGAGCUGCUCUUCCGCUCCUUCUCCCGGCGGGACUGGAGCACCUCGUUCCUGUGCAUGGUGAGGAACCCAGCCGGGCUGGAAAAGGGACUGGUCCACUGGGACCCUGAGCCACCAGCCCAGAUCUCCGAGCCACAGCAGGAGACAAGGCAGGACAUCCAGACCCUGACGAGCACCCCCACCAUGGACUGGGCCAAGAGCACGGACUGAGCGCGGGGAGAGCAGCGCCGGCCCCCGAGAGGCAUCGAUAUUGUACCCAUGGCUGCCAAGCUCCACUUCCCUGGCAAAGCCCUGCCAGCCUCCCUCCACGGCCCAGCUGCCUUCCCCUGCCCCUUCUGUUUCCCCUGUGUCUGCUUGGAGCCCCACCCCAAACACACUGCACUGGUGAGGGAGGCUCCCAUAGGACUUGCCCUUGGGUCACGGCCUGGGAAAGGCCCACGUCUUCUACCCACCCCCAUCCCUCUUCCACUGCUCUGGCAGGGUCAUUCUCGGCCCUAGUGACCAAAGCCACCCCCUGCUGCCAGCCCAGCCUAUGAGUGAAGAGCAGGGUCCCUUCAACAGCUGCCAGCAGUGCCCUGCCUGUUACAUGCCUGGGGGCAGCACCAGCUUGGGGCAGGGGCUGGGAGACCAGCACCCCCUGGCCUGUGGCUGCCAGCUCUCUUCCCACGUCACACAGCAUCUAUUAAAUAAACA